AUGGCCUGGGCUUCUCCUGUGUCCAAAGACGCCGAGCCUCCAGUGAGCACGUCGACACUGAUCUAUGUCUUUGUGGCAUUGGUUGUUGCAAGUUCGAUGGGCAUACUCGCAAGGUCAUUUUUUUUUUCUGUGACAGCUACAUACAAAACAACUCUGUUGUUCAACAAGAAGCACAUGGCCAUAUUCAGAGCUACUGUGUCUUUCUUCGAUUCCACUCGAAGUGGGGGCAUCUUGAAUAGAGUGGACGAGGAGGAGGCAGAGCAAGAGACGAGAGCCAUCGGCAAGGAAGGGACACAGAUCCAGUUUUUCCAGCGUCGCCUCAUCAUCGCCUCUUGCUGGAUCAGCACCAGUGACUUCCUCGUUGAUAGACAUCGGCCAGGGCAAGUUCAGGGGAGGCGGUUCCUGGGCUGGUCAGCUGACAUCCACGGCGGCGGCGGCCUGAGAGAGAGCCAUCAGGGAAGGAAGCUGUAA
rnacentral:rRNA from 1 species